rnacentral:lncRNA from 1 species
GAACGCGCCGCCCGAGUUCCAGAAGACCAAGCUCAUGACCCGCCUCACCUACACGCUGGACGAGAUCGAGGGCCCGCUCGAGGUCGCCUCCGACGGCACCCUCAAGUUCGAGGAGAAGGACGGCAUCGACUACGCCGCCGUCACCGUGCAGCUCCCGGGCGGCGAGCGCGUGCCCUUCCUCUUCACCGUCAAGCAGCUCGUCGCCACCGGCAAGCCGGACAGCUUCGGCGGGCCCUUCCUCGUGCCCAGCUACCGCGGCUCCUCCUUCCUCGACCCCAAGGGCCGCGGCGGCUCCACCGGAUACGACAACGCCGUCGCGCUCCCCGCCGGAGGCAGAGGCGACGAGGAGGAGCUCCAGAAGGAGAACAUCAAGAACGCCGCCUCGUCCACGGGCAACAUCACGCUGAGCGUCACCAAGAGCAACCCGGACACCGGCGAGGUCAUUGGCGUAUUCGAGAGCGUGCAGCCGUCGGACACCGACCUCGG